rnacentral:rRNA from 1 species
UACGUAGGGUGCAAGCGUUAAUCGGAAUUACUGGGCGUAAAGCGUGCGCAGGCGGUUUUGUAAGUCUGAUGUGAAAUCCCCGGGCUCAACCUGGGAAUUGCAUUGGAGACUGCAAGGCUAGAAUCUGGCAGAGGGGGUAGAAUUCCACGUGUAGCAGUGAAAUGCGUAGAGAUGUGGAGGAACACCGAUGGCGAAGGCAGCCCCCUGGGUCAAGAUUGACGCUCAUGCACGAAAGCGUGGGGAGC